CUUGACGACCAUAGAGCGUACACACCUGAUCCCAUCCCGAACUCAGAAGUGAAACGAUGCAUCGCCGAUGGUAGUGUGGGGUUUCCCCAUGUGAGAGUAGGUCAUCGUCAAGA
rnacentral:rRNA from 1 species